rnacentral:rRNA from 1 species
UACGAAGGGGGCUAGCGUUGCUCGGAAUCACUGGGCGUAAAGCGCACGUAGGCGGAUCUUUAAGUCAGGGGUGAAAUCCUGGAGCUCAACUCCAGAACUGCCUUUGAUACUGAGGAUCUUGAGUCCGGGAGAGGUGAGUGGAACUCCGAGUGUAGAGGUGAAAUUCGUAGAUAUUCGGAAGAACACCAGUGGCGAAGGCGGCUCACUGGCCCGGUACUGACGCUCAGGUUCGAAAGCGAUGGGGAGGCAAACAGG